UAAUACGGGAGGCAGCAGUAGGGAAUCUUCCGCAAUGGACGAAAGUCUGACGGAGCAACGCCGCGUGAGUGAUGAAGGCUUUCGGGUCGUAAAACUCUGUUGUUAGGGAAGAACAAGUGCUAGUUGAAUAAGCUGGCACCUUGACGGUACCUAACCAGAAAGCCACGGCUAACUACGUGCCAGCAGCCGCGGUAAUACGUAGGUGGCAAGCGUUAUCCGGAAUUAUUGGGCGUAAAGCGCGCGCAGGUGGUUUCUUAAGUCUGAUGUGAAAGCCCACGGCUCAACCGUGGAGGGUCAUUGGAAACUGGGAGACUUGAGUGCAGAAGAGGAAAGUGGAAUUCCAUGUGUAGCGGUGAAAUGCGUAGAGAUAUGGAGGAACACCAGUGGCGAAGGCGACUUUCUGGUCUGUAACUGACACUGAGGCGCGAAAGCGUGGGGAGCAAACAGGAUUAGAUACCCUGGUAGUCCACGCCGUAAACGAUGAGUGCUAAGUGUUAGAGGGUUUCCGCCCUUUAGUGCUGAAAUUAACCCAUUAAGCACU
rnacentral:rRNA from 1 species